rnacentral:rRNA from 1 species
UGGGGAAUCUUCCGCAAUGGGCGAAAGCCUGACGGAGCAACGCCGCGUGAGUGAAGAAGGUCUUCGGAUCGUAAAGCUCUGUCGAAGGGGACGAACGUAGUUUUUGUGAAUAAUGAGAGCUAAUGACGGUACCUUUCAAGAAAGCCACGGCUAACUACGUGCCAGCAGCCGCGGUAAUACGUAGGUGGCAAGCGUUGUCCGGAAUUAUUGGGCGUAAAGGGCGCGCAGGCGGCGUCGUAAGUCGGUCUUAAAAGUGCGGGGCUUAACCCCGUGAGGGGACCGAAACUGCGAUGCUAGAGUAUC